UGGGGAAUAUUGGACAAUGGGCGCAAGCCUGAUCCAGCCAUGCCGCGUGAGUGAUGAAGGCCUUAGGGUUGUAAAGCUCUUUCGUCCGGGACGAUAAUGACGGUACCGGAAGAAGAAGCCCCGGCUAACUUCGUGCCAGCAGCCGCGGUAAUACGAAGGGGGCUAGCGUUGUUCGGAAUCACUGGGCGUAAAGGGCGCGUAGGCGGCCAAUCAAGUCGGGGGUGAAAGCCUGUGGCUUAACCACAGAAUUGCCUUCGAUACUGUUUGGCUUGAGACCGGAAGAGGUAAGUGGAACUGCGAGUGUAGAGGUGAAAUUCGUAGAUAUUCGCAAGAACACCAGUGGCGAAGGCGGCUUACUGGUCCGGUUCUGACGCUGAGGCGCGAAAGCGUGGGGAGCAAACAGGAUUAGAUACCCUGGUA
rnacentral:rRNA from 1 species